AGCAUUUUAGUUUGCUUGCAAACUGAAGAUGGCGACCGGCGCACGGGUGAGUAACACGUAUCCAACCUGCCGAUAACUCCGGAAUAGCCUUUCGAAAGAAAGAUUAAUACCGGAUAGCAUACGAAUAUCGCAUGAUAUUUUUAUUAAAGAAUUUCGGUUAUCGAUGGGGAUGCGUUCCAUUAGUUUGUUGGCGGGGUAACGGCCCACCAAGACUACGAUGGAUAGGGGUUCUGAGAGGAAGGUCCCCCACAUUGGAACUGAGACACGGUCCAAACUCCUACGGGAGGCAGCAGUGAGGAAUAUUGGUCAAUGGGCGAGAGCCUGAACCAGCCAAGUAGCGUGAAGGAUGAAGGCUCUAUGGGUCGUAAACUUCUUUUAUAUGGGAAUAAAGUUUUCCACGUGUGGAAUUUUGUAUGUACCAUAUGAAUAAGGAUCGGCUAACUCCGUGCCAGCAGCCGCGGUAAUACGGAGGAUCCGAGCGUUAUCCGGAUUUAUUGGGUUUAAAGGGAGCGUAGGUGGAUUGUUAAGUCAGUUGUGAAAGUUUGCGGCUCAACCGUAAAAUUGCAGUUGAAACUGGCAGUCUUGAGUACAGUAGAGGUGGGCGGAAUUCGUGGUGUAGCGGUGAAAUGCUUAGAUAUCACGAAGAACUCCGAUUGCGAAGGCAGCUCACUAGACUGUCACUGACACUGAUGCUCGAAAGUGUGGGUAUCAAACAGGAUUAGAUACCCUGGUAGUCCACACAGUAAACGAUGAAUACUCGCUGUUUGCGAUAUACAGUAAGCGGCCAAGCGAAAGCAUUAAGUAUUCCACCUGGGGAGUACGCCGGCAACGGUGAAACUCAAAGGAAUUGACGGGGGCCCGCACAAGCGGAGGAACAUGUGGUUUAAUUCGAUGAUACGCGAGGAACCUUACCCGGGCUUAAAUUGCAACAGAAUAUAUUGGAAACAGUAUAGCCGUAAGGCUGUUGUGAAGGUGCUGCAUGGUUGUCGUCAGCUCGUGCCGUGAGGUGUCGGCUUAAGUGCCAUAACGAGCGCAACCCUUAUCUUUAGUUACUAACAGGUUAUGCUGAGGACUCUAGAGAGACUGCCGUCGUAAGAUGUGAGGAAGGUGGGGAUGACGUCAAAUCAGCACGGCCCUUACGUCCGGGGCUACACACGUGUUACAAUGGGGGGUACAGAAGGCGGCUACCUGGUGACAGGAUGCUAAUCCCAAAAACCUCUCUCAGUUCGGAUCGAAGUCUGCAACCCGACUUCGUGAAGCUGGAUUCGCUAGUAAUCGCGCAUCAGCCAUGGCGCGGUGAAUACGUUCCCGGGCCUUGUACACACCGCCCGUCAAGCCAUGAAAGCCGGGGGUACCUGAAGUACGUAACCGCAAGGAGCGUCCU
rnacentral:rRNA from 1 species